CAGCUGCAGCCUAUGCCACGCUUGUGCCACAACCACAUGGGAUCCGAGCUGAGUCUGCACCUACACCACAGUUCAUGGCAGUGCUGGAUCCCUGACCCACUGAGUGAGGCCAAGGAUCGAACCCACUUCCUCAUGAAUACUAGUUGGGUUCAUUAGUGCUGAGCCAUGAUGGAAACUCCUCUGUACCUUUAAAAGAGGUUUUUAAGAUGUUAAUAUUAUUCUCAGAGAGCUGAGAAAAAUAUCGCAUCCAUAAGUACAGGAUGUCUUGGAAAAAAUCAAUCACAGAACAAAAAAAAUACACAGGAACACAAAUUUUCUAAUCAAUAAAAGGCUGGAUGAUAAAGCAGAGAAAACCAUCUAGAAUAUAGAUAAACACAGGCAUCUAAAAGAUAGCUUCCAGUUUGUCCAAUUGUAUAUCAUCUAAGAGAAGUUCUAGAGAAAGUGGGAGAAAAUUAGCAAGGGAAAUGGGAAAAUUAAUGAAAUAAAACACACACAUGCUCCUGAACACAAUAGGGAGAAAUUUCAGAACCUCAGAGUGAAAGAGAACCUGCUAAAGAUUUCCAAAGAGGGAGUUCCUGUCAUGGCUCAGGAUCACGACACGGUGGUGGAUGUGGGUUCCACCACAUGCACGAGGGUAUCCAUGAGGAUGUGGGUUUGAUCCCUGGCCUCACUUUGGGGUUAAGGAUCUGGCGGUGCCAUGAGCUGUGGUAUAGGUCAAAGACACAGCUUGGAUCUGGCAUUGCUGUGGCUGUGGUGUAGGCCAGCAGCUACAGCUCCGACCCUUAGCCUUGGAACAUCCAUAUGCCACAGAUGCGGCCCUAAAAAGCCAAAAAAAAAAAAAAGUUUCCAAAGAGAAAACACAGAACACCUACAAAGACCAUUAAAUUGAUAUCAGGCUCACCGAUGAUGCCUGACACCAAAGUGUCUCAAAGCUCUAAGGGCAAAUCAAUGCAUCAGUUUGUCAAGUAUCAAUAUGGGCAACAGGAAAGUCCAUGCACAUGACAGGAGGGGAGGGGAAAAGGGCGAGAGGCGCUGGGACUCGUGUUACAGGUCGGGGACCAGGUGAUUCCAUCUGGAAGGAUGAAGCAAGAGACACAAUAUAACUUGAUCCCUUACACUCCUGAAAAAGGGGAAUUCAAAUUUGUGAUACAGCGAUGAUGGGUAAAGGGGGAGAAGAUGGGAAAGUAUGGCAAGAAACCCAUGGACACUGUUUCACCCGAUGAAUGAGGACAUAACAGCCUAAGUGCAGAGCCCAGAUUUACGGCAAUAAUCACCAGAAGAAGCAGUUAGAGGUUUUAAAAGGGUUUCCUUGGAAGAAGUGAGGGGGGCUGGGAGGUGGAGGCAAGAGAGCCAUUGCUAUUUUAUUCCAACCCAUUCUGCACUAUUUUUUUUUUAGGUCUGCAUAUAGAAGUUCCCAGGCUAGGGAUAGAUCAGAGCUGCAGCUGCUGGCCUGCACCACAGCCACAGUGACACCGAAUCCAAGUCACACCUGUGACCUAUAUGCUGCAGCCUGUGGCAACACCGGAUCCUUAACCCACUGAGCGAGGCCAGGGAUCAAACCCGGGUCCUCAUGAACACUAUGUCAGGUUCUUAACCCAAUGAGCCACAACGGGAACUCCCUAAGCCAUUCUGCACUAUUUUUUUUAAAACUAUGGGCUACUUGGAUAGAAAUUUUAAAAGAAGCUUUGUUAUAAGACAAAUGCAUAACUAGGUUAAUGAUGCACUGUUGCAGUGAGGCUGACUAGGGGACUGACGACGAGGCCACCAGCAGACUAAGCUGAGUCAGAAUGAAGAAUCUGGUCGGGAUGCUGGCGAGGAUAAGGUGAACACCCAGGAAGAAAUGACUGACCAGACAUGGAGACACAGGUCAAAGCUGAAGGCAGGGGCAGGGCUAGAGCUGACAGCUCAGGGCCAUCUGUCCAAAGGCCAGUUAAAGACAGGCCUGGGAGGGAGACCAUCUGGGAAGCAAAUGCAGUGGGAUGAAAGGAGCAGACCAAGGAUAAACGCUAGAGAGCAUCAGAUGGUAGGAGGAGCCUGCAACAGAGACCCAGGAAGGGCUGGUGUCACGGAAGCUGGAAGGCAGCGUGUGAAGGAGGAAACUGACAAAUUUAGCAGAUGCGUGAGAGAGGUCCACUGUAAAGUGCCAUGACUCACCCUUCUCAAGAUUACCUACGCCACUGGGAGUACUCUCAGCUCUAAGUAAGGGAAGCCUAUGCAGUAGAUGGAUGCAUAACCCCACAGGGCUAAUAAGGGGCUAAAACCAGACCUUGACGCUAGCUCAACUGGAAAUUCCAUGAGCCCUCAAACCCUCCCUGUAGCUAAGAUGCUGGCUCCUCCUCCAAACCCUACCCAUCCAGAACGCACCUGGCACGGAACAGGUGGUUUGAUCUGCUUCCACUCAUGUUCGCUUUCAGAAUGAAAUGUACUGUCGCCCUAUAGACGCUGCCUAAAAAGACGGAUGUCUGCUUUGCGGUAACUCAGCCGUUGGGGGAGGGGUGGUCCCACACUGAAGAAGUAAAAUGCUCAUCUUCAUUCUGCCUCUGAAAACACAUUUUAAAACCAGCCAUCUGGAAUGUCUAGUCUGUGGUGUCUUUUUCCCUCAAAGAUAAGAACAGAAAUAAUAAUACCAAAGUUGGACGAGAAGUACAGACAACAACCUACGUUAAGAGAUUACAUGAAAAGGAAUAUUUCAUCAGAGAAGAAAUCCUGAUUGAACAUGCGUUCCUUGGAUUUCCUAAGGGGAUGGGGAAAAAACAGCCGAAAUCAGUAUUCACAAAACUCAACGGAUCUGCCUUCGGCAUCAAUUCAGAGUCAAGACUCAGUGUCACUGCACCACAGAAGGGACACUGCCCUCCAACAGCGCUGUCCUCUGGGCCAUUUAAUGAGCUGGCACCUUGCAAUGCUGCAUUAUGGGAGCUGUUCUGUAUGCAAGCUCCUCUCUCCCACAAGCAGGCACAAACCAACAGAUUCUCUCUUUCUUCUAGAACAGCACCUUCAGUGCCAACACGCCGAGCUGCACCAGCCACAUUAAUGCCCCAUUUAUCCUGAAGCAAAUCUAACCUCAAAAAGACUUCAAAAUUUCCAGGUCGAUGCAGAGAUGAAAGGCAAACACUGUGAAGCUUCCAGACGUAAACUAAAACCGAACCAGGUGCAGGCAUUUCAAGUCAAUCCAAGGCAAAGCUAGUGACACCUGUGGGCAGGUGUGCUGUAAACAAACCUCCCGUCUCCGCAGAGGAGGGCCACGUCUGCCCAGCAAACAGCCUGAAGCCUCAACUCCAACAUCCCUUGGAAAGGAGCACAAAAUCACAGGCUGGCAAAGCAUUCUAAGUGGUGGAGUCGGGUGCAAGGGAACAGGCCAGACUGUGAGGGCUGGAUUCCCCUUUGCCUCCCACACCCAAUUCUUCAGCUGGUCUCAUCACUGUGCCUUUAAAAAUACAUCCAUAGGAGUUCCUGCGUGCCUCAGUGGUUAACAAAUACGACUAGGAACCAUGAGGUUGAGGGUUUGAUCCCUGGCCUUACUCAGUGGGUUGAGGAUCUGGCGUUGCCAUGAGCUGUGGUGUAGGUCACAGAUGUGGCUCGGAUCCCGAGUUACUGUGGCUGCGGUGUAGGCUGACAGCUACAGCUCCAAUUAGACCCCUAGCCUAAGAACCUCCUUAUGCUGCUAGUGCAGCUCUGGGAAAAAGACAAAAAAAAAAUACAUCAAUAAGUCAUCCCGCCCUCGCUCACUGCUCCUGGUCUCUCACCAUCAGCCUGCAGCAGCCUCCUCCCAGCCAGCCCUCCUCCAUCCUGGUCCCCGUCAGCCUGUUCAACAGCAGCCGGAAUGC
rnacentral:lncRNA from 9 species